rnacentral:rRNA from 1 species
AACGAACGCUGGCGGCAUGCCUAACACAUGCAAGUCGAACGAGACCUUCGGGUCUAGUGGCGCACGGGUGCGUAACGCGUGGGAAUCUGCCCUUGGGUUCGGAAUAACAGUGAGAAAUUACUGCUAAUACCGGAUGAUGUCUUCGGACCAAAGAUUUAUCGCCCAGGGAUGAGCCCGCGUAGGAUUAGCUAGUUGGUGGGGUAAUGGCCUACCAAGGCGACGAUCCUUAGCUGGUCUGAGAGGAUGAUCAGCCACACUGGGACUGAGGCACGGCCCAGACUCCUACGGGAGGCAGCAGUGGGGAAUAUUGGACGAUGGGCGCAAGCCUGAUCCAGCAAUGCCGCGUGAGUGAUGAAGGCCUUAGGGUUGUAAAGCUCUUUUACCCGGGAUGAUAAUGACAGUACCGGGAGAAUAAGCUCCGGCUAACUCCGUG